rnacentral:lncRNA from 1 species
UUUAUUUCAAAUCAUUUCUGAUUUUUAGUCCAAUAAACUGAUUUCUCAUGAGCAGCCUAACUUUUCUCUUUUCCUUGUUCUUCUCUCUUAUUUCUUGCUUUGUUAUGUUACUUUUGGGAAAAAAGUGUUUUGAAAAAAUUUUUUCUUAUUAAUCGUAAAGGUAAAGUAUUCAGUUUUUCUCUCCCACAUGAAUUUCCUAUGCAUAUGAAUAUCAUGCCUUUCUGGAUCUCCCUCUCAAGCUCUAUGUGAACAGUAAUCUAUUGUUUUCCUAAUUUAAAAUAUUAAUUAAAUGUUCAAUGUGAUCACAAUAUCAUCAGUUCCAGAUAAAUUAAAAGAAUCUAUUCCUGCCUUCUAGGACCACUGAGUUCCAUGAACUAAUAAGUAACUGUUGGGAACCUUCACCUUUUGGACAAAAUUGCUUCUGUUUCUCCUAGACUUGGAAGUUUUCCUUCCUAGUCAUCUAAUCAAAUGGGUUAUCAUGAUCCCUGAAAUUGUUUGCAAAAUAUCCUUUAAUAUGUUGAUGGCAUUUGUGCUUAACAAGCUUCCUGGUUAUUCUCCCCAAAUCAGCACCUGAAAGACUCCAUCUUAAGGUCAAACUGUCCUUUUUUUUUUAGUGUGUUAGAAGAUAUCUUUAAUAGUGAGACAGAUAAAUACAGUCACUGAACAAGCAGAGCAAAAAAAGGGAAAUAAGAGAGAACAGGGAGAGAAACUAUAAGUUUCUGAUGAUCUUGCGCUUGACUGGUCACUUCUUCUAGACUCUUCAGCCUUGGUACAAUAAGUCGAUGGACUCAGGAAGAAGGGAGGAAGGAAGAUAUGUUGACCAACAUUAGCUUCUGAUAGAAGAGUCAUCUACAGAACCAGGAUGAGUUCACUAGACAUUUUAUUGAAGUUGACGACUAAAGCCUUAGCUGAUUUUGUCCUCUGGACAUGUAUGUCCUUUGCACAUGUAAAGAAGCAGAUUACCAUAGCAGGAUGACAUGGGAAUCUAGGAUCCUUAAUAGUAUUCAAAUACUAAAUAUUGUAUAGCUGGAAUGGUAUAGUGGUAAAGAACAUGAAUUUGGGAGUUAGGGAGGCUUGAAAUGGAAUCACAUCAUGACCACAAACUGCCUGUUUGGUCAUAGACAAGGUACUUAUAUUCGCUCAACCUCAGCUUUCUUAUUUGUACAAUAAAUAUGAUUAUAGUACGUACUACAGGGGAUUAGUGUAAUUAUUGCAUGAGAUAAUAUACAUUAAAAUGUUUAAUCAAGUGCUUAGUGCAUACAUGUGUUAUAUGCUAUUAGCAGAACAUUAAUAAUAAUCAUAAUCACACUAGUAAAGGUUAGGAAGAGGGAUGGUUUUUAAGAAUCCAGUCAGGCUAGCUCUUUAGGAUAAUCAGAUAAACUCCCUUUUCUACUUUAUUUUUUUGUCAGACUUUUUUUGACCCCUGUGAAACAGGUGCUACAUGUGAUACUAGGUGAUCAUAACCAUUCAAUAUACCACUUCCAGUUUAAUCGAAACGGAUUCUCAGUAUUUUUGGAAACUUAAUUUUCAUGUUUCAAGCCAGCUGUAACUGACCAAUCUAUCAAUUAAAUCAACAAAAUUAAUCAGGUGCCCAAUCUAAUAUGUAUUAGAGGCUAUAAAAUAAAUGGGUACAUUUUUCUUUAAUAGUUUUAGUAGAUUGCAAUCUUCAAAUAAAAUUUGAGAACUGAGGCUAACACAUAUGAAAAAAACAUGAAUGCAGAGAUAAAAACAAUAUAUAUAUAUAAACUUUGCUUUUAAGGCUACUAUGAGUUGUAGACAUCUACCUAGUCUAGUGUUGUUUUGCUCUGUUGCUUUGUUUUUUCCUUCAAAUGGUAGUAGGAGGCUUUCUAUGUGAAUUCUACACCUAUUACAAUUGCUUACUUGGUUAUCAAACACUGAUUGCUUAAAGUUAAUUUGCCCAGAAAUUACUAGAUUUGAGGUCUUUAUGUUAACCCAGAAUUUAUCAUCUCAGUUUGACCUCUGAUAUCACUAAUGUUUUAAGGGUUUAGGUUUACCACACAGCCUCUGUUGUCUUCAUAUUCUGACCCUUACCUCCAACUUUGCUUUUGUUGUCCUUAAUUUCACUCUGACAGUAUCAAAGACUGGCCAACAUGUUGCCAUGAUAUUUGCAUUGUGUUUUACACUUUAGCAAGUGUUUUCACAUGUAACUGGUUCAUUU